ACGGAGGGCGCAAGCGUUGUUCGGAAUCAUUGGGCGUAAAGCGGGUGUAGGCGGCUUGACAAGUCAGAUGUGAAAUCCCUGGGCCCAACCCAGGAACUGCACCUGAUACUGUCUCGCUAGAGUCCCGGAGAGGGUGGCGGAAUUCCCGGUGUAGAGGUGAAAUUCGUAGAUAUCGGGAGGAACACCAGUGGCGAAGGCGGCCACCUGGACGGUGACUGACGCUCAGACCCGAAAGCGUGGGGAGCGAACAGG
rnacentral:rRNA from 1 species